UACGUAGGGUGCGAGCGUUGCCCGGAUUUAUUGGGCGUAAAGGGCGCGUAGGCGGUCACGCACGUCCGUUGUGAAAUCGCUCGGCUCAACUGGGCGGGGUCAGCGGAUACGGCGUGGCUGGAGCAAGCUAGGGGGCAAUGGAAUUCCCGGUGUAGUGGUGGAAUGCGUAGAGAUCGGGAGGAAGGCCGGUGGCGAAGGCGGCGCUCUGGAACGUUUCUGACGCUGAGGCUCGAAAGCGUGGGGAGCAAACAGG
rnacentral:rRNA from 1 species